rnacentral:rRNA from 1 species
GAUGAACGCUGGCGGCGUGCUUAACACAUGCAAGUCGAACGGAAAGGCUCCUGCUUGCAGGGGUACUCGAGUGGCGAACGGGUGAGUAACACGUGGGUGAUCUGCCCUGCACUUCGGGAUAAGCCUGGGAAACUGGGUCUAAUACCGGAUAGGACGAUGGUUUGGAUGCCAUUGUGGAAAGUUUUUCGGUGUGGGAUGAGCUCGCGGCCUAUCAGCUUGUUGGUGGGGUAAUGGCCUACCAAGGCGUCGACGGGUAGCCGGCCCGGGAGGGGGUACGGCCCAAAUGGGAAGGAGAUAACGGCCAGACUACGACGGGGGGGAAGAGGGGGGAAUAUUGGAAAAGGGGCGGAAGGCCGAGGGAGGCAAGCCGGGGGGGGGAAGACGGGCCUUGGGGUGUAAAACUCUUUUGCCUGGGAAGAAGGGGGAGGGAAGGGAACGGGGAAAAAAGGCCCGGGCAAACAAGGG